GAUGAACGCUGGCGGCGUGCCUAAUACAUGCAAGUCGAACGAAACGUCGUGGAGACUGAUCGUCUGCAGUUAGCGGCGGACGGGUGAGUAACAAAUGGAUAACCUACCUGUAAGAAACGGGUACCAUAGGGAAACCUGAGCUAAUAAAGGAUGAUAUAUUGCCCCACAAGGUUCAAUAGUGAAAGACAGUUUUGUAGUCACUUAUAGUUGUACCCGCGCCGCAUUAGCUAGUUGGUAAGGUAACGGCUUACCAAGGCAACGAUGCGUAGCCGACAUGAGAGGGUGAUCGGCCACACUGGAACUGAGACACGGCCCAGACUCCUACGGGAGGCAGCAGUAGGGAAUCUUCCGCAAUGGGCGAAAGCCUGACGGAGCAACGCCGCGUGAGUGAUGAAGGUCUUCGGAUCGUAAAACUCUGUUAUUAGGGAAGAACGAAUGUGUAAGUAACUAUGCACGUCUUGACGGUACCUAAUCAGAAAGCCACGGCUAACUACGUG
rnacentral:rRNA from 1 species